UCAAUCUUUUAACAACACAUCAAUUUUCUCAAUUACAUCUUCAAUCUGGUCCAGGACACUGCUGUAAUUGAGGCGUAGAGGCUGGGUCAGGAAAUCAGCGGAAAUUAUCGGUGGCACUGCAAAGGAAGUGGACAAGACAGCAACUACAUCACCAAGGGGAGAUAACUCUAUCUAGACCACUGAACAAGACUAUGGGUGCCCAAGGGGCUGGAGAAAUCUGUGUGAUUAUACCCGGUCUAUCAGCGACAGGAUUGCAGACUUUAUCCCAUUGUACACCACCUAAUAUUGCUAGAUGAAAGAUGACUAAUUCAUGCAACUUAUUGAAAGCAGCAGAUGUCCAAAGAAAUAAAUUCCUCUUCAUGGAAAGACUGAUGGAGGGACUACAGUCCGGGAGAAACAUACAAGUAAAACACAUAAAACUGACUUCUCCAUUUUACACUGCAGUAAUUUCCCUGUAUAAAAAUGAUAACAAGCACUGCCGACAGGCAAGGUCUAGCAAAGAUAUAUGGAACAUUACUAACUGUGUCUUUCUCCAGCAAAAGUAAACUUUUUGGCAUUUUUGGAACCAUUAUCUUAAUUCAGUCAGGUUUUUGGUAGAUGAUCUUCUAUUAUACCCCUGCCGAUUUUCCUUGACUGAAUUAUAAACAAAUAAGCGCUAUUUGCUCUUGUGCUGGUUCCAUGAUUAAAAAAAUACAAAACUUCAUAAUCAGGUAAACUUUUCUUUCCAGCUCUGUCUGAGCCCAUAAUUGCCUCUCAUUAUAUGGAGCACGUUAAGAGGUCCAUGCAGCGCUGCUCUAGAAUAAACACGGGAGAGAGCCAGCAAUGGCCAAAUCCAUCAACACCAAUCCACUUUAUUGUGUUUUGCCUGGGUUUAAAAAAUGCCAGGAAUUUUCUAAUUUAGUCAGCAAAAGAAAAUGAUUCAUAGUCAUUAAUAUUCAGGUACAAUAAGGGACAUGCAGGCCGAUUCGCAGAAAAGAUAGGAUGCAAAGAUUAACAAUCUUCUGACAAUGCAAUUAACCAUAUAUCUGUAAGAUUUAUGACAAGUUUUGCAACAUAAACUGUUUAAUCAUGAAAAUAAAAAAAGUCUGGUAAAUGAU